rnacentral:rRNA from 1 species
GUUAAGCGACUAAGCGUACACGGUGGAUGCCCUGGCAGUCAGAGGCGAUGAAGGACGUGCUAAUCUGCGAUAAGCGUCGGUAAGGUGAUAUGAACCGUUAUAACCGGCGAUUUCCGAAUGGGGAAACCCAGUGUGAUUCGUCACACUAUCAUUAACUGAAUCCAUAGGUUAAUGAGGCGAACCGGGGGAACUGAAACAUCUAAGUACCCCGAGGAAAAGAAAUCAACCGAGAUUCCCCCAGUAGCGGCGAGCGAACGGGGAGCAGCCCAGAGCCUGAAUCAGUGUGUGUGUUAGUGGAAGCGUCUGGAAAGGCGCGCGAUACAGGGUGACAGCCCCGUACACAAAAAUGCACAUGCUGUGAGCUCGAUGAGUAGGGCGGGACACGUGGUAUCCUGUCUGAAUAUGGGGGGACCAUCCUCCAAGGCUAAAUACUCCUGACUGACCGAUAGUGAACCAGUACCGUGAGGGAAAGGCGAAAAGAACCCCGGCGAGGGGAGUGAAAAAGAACCUGAAACCGUGUACGUACAAGCAGUGGGAGCACGCUUAGGCGUGUGACUGCGUACCUUUUGUAUAAUGGGUCAGCGACUUAUAUUCUGUAGCAAGGUUAACCGAAUAGGGGAGCCGAAGGGAAACCGAGUCUUAACUGGGCGUUAAGUUGCAGGGUAUAGACCCGAAACCCGGUGAUCUAGCCAUGGGCAGGUUGAAGGUUGGGUAACACUAACUGGAGGACCGAACCGACUAAUGUUGAAAAAUUAGCGGAUGACUUGUGGCUGGGGGUGAAAGGCCAAUCAAACCGGGAGAUAGCUGGUUCUCCCCGAAAGCUAUUUAGGUAGCGCCUCGUGAAUUCAUCUCCGGGGGUAGAGCACUGUUUCGGCAAGGGGGUCAUCCCGACUUACCAACCCGAUGCAAACUGCGAAUACCGGAGAAUGUUAUCACGGGAGACACACGGCGGGUGCUAACGUCCGUCGUGAAGAGGGAAACAACCCAGACCGCCAGCUAAGGUCCCAAAGUCAUGGUUAAGUGGGAAACGAUGUGGGAAGGCCCAGACAGCCAGGAUGUUGGCUUAGAAGCAGCCAUCAUUUAAAGAAAGCGUAAUAGCUCACUGGUCGAGUCGGCCUGCGCGGAAGAUGUAACGGGGCUAAACCAUGCACCGAAGCUGCGGCAGCGACGCUUAUGCGUUGUUGGGUAGGGGAGCGUUCUGUAAGCCUGCGA